UACGGAGGGUGCAAGCGUUAUCCGGAUUUACUGGGCUUAAAGGGUGCGUAGGCGGGUCUGUAAGUCAGUGGUGAAAUCUCCGGGCUUAACUCGGAAACUGCCAUUGAUACUAUAGAUCUUGAAUUAUCUGGAGGUGAGCGGAAUAUGUCAUGUAGCGGUGAAAUGCGUAGAUAUGACAUAGAACACCAAUUGCGAAGGCAGCUCACUACGGAUAUAUUGACGCUGAGGCACGAAAGCGUGGGGAGCAAACAGG
rnacentral:rRNA from 1 species